UACGUAGGCAGCGAGCGUUGUUCGGAAUUACUGGGCGUAAAGAGUGUGUAGGCGGUGUUCCAAGUUCGGUGUGAAAUCUCCCGGCUCAACUGGGAGGGUGCGCCGAAUACUGAAUGACUUGGAGUGCGGGAGAGGAGAGUGGAAUUCCUGGUGUAGCGGUGAAAUGCGUAGAUAUCAGGAGGAACACCGGUGGUGUAGACGGCUCUCUGGACCGUAACUGACGCUGAGACACGAAAGCGUGGGUAGCAAACAGG
rnacentral:rRNA from 1 species